GGAUAUAUAGCUCAGGGGUAAAGCAUGUGCUUAGCGUGCAUGAGGUCCUGGGUUCUAUCCCCAGUACCUUCA
rnacentral:tRNA from 1 species